UACGUAGGGUGCGAGCGUUGUCCGGAAUUACUGGGCGUAAAGAGCUCGUAGGUGGUUUGUCGCGUUGUCCGUGAAAACUCACAGCUCAACUGUGGGCGUGCGGGCGAUACGGGCAGACUGGAGUACUGCAGGGGAGACUGGAAUUCCUGGUGUAGCGGUGGAAUGCGCAGAUAUCGGGAGGAACACCAGUGGCGAAGGCGGUUGCCUGGGGCUUUGCUGACGCUGAUGCGCGAAAGCGUGGGGAGCGAACAGG
rnacentral:rRNA from 1 species